rnacentral:rRNA from 1 species
GCCUGCAUGAAGUCGGAAUCGCUAGUAAUCGCGAGUCAGCAUAUCGCGGUGAAUACGUUCCCGGGUCUUGUACACACCGCCCGUCACACCAUGGGAGUUGGCAACACCGAAGCCGAUGAGCUAACCCGCAAGGGAGGCAGUUGUCUAAGGUGGGGUUGAUAACUGGGUGAAGUCGUAACAAGGUAGC